rnacentral:rRNA from 1 species
GAUGAACGCUGGCGGCGUGCCUAAUACAUGCAAGUCGAGCGAACGGACGAGAAGCUUGCUUCUCUGAUGUUAGCGGCGGACGGGUGAGUAACACGUGGAUAACCUACCUAUAAGACUGGGAUAACUUCGGGAAACCGGAGCUAAUACCGGAUAAUAUUUUGAACCGCAUGGUUCAAAAGUGAAAGACGGUCUUGCUGUCACUUAUAGAUGGAUCCGCGCUGCAUUAGCUAGUUGGUAAGGUAACGGCUUACCAAGGCAACGAUGCAUAGCCGACCUGAGAGGGUGAUCGGCCACACUGGAACUGAGACACGGUCCAGACUCCUAAGGGAGGCAGCAGUAGGGAAUCUUCCGCAAUGGGAGAAAGCCUGACGGAGCAACGCCGCGUGAGUGAUGAAGGUCUUCGGAUCGUAAAACUCUGUUAUUAGGGAAGAACAUAUGUGUAAGUAACUGUGCACAUCUUGACGGUACCUAAUCAGAAAGCCACGGCUAACUACGUG